AUUGAACGCUGGCGGCAUGCUUUACACAUGCAAGUCGAACGGCAGCGCGGGCUUCGGCCUGGCGGCGAGUGGCGAACGGGUGAGUAAUACAUCGGAACGUGCCCAGUAGUGGGGGAUAGCUCGGCGAAAGCCGGAUUAAUACCGCAUACGACCUGAGGGUGAAAGCGGGGGAUCGUCGGACCUCGCGCUAUUGGAGCGGCCGAUGGCAGAUUAGCUAGUUGGUGGGGUAAAGGCCUACCAAGGCGACGAUCUGUAGCUGGUCUGAGAGGACGACCAGCCACACUGGGACUGAGACACGGCCCAGACUCCUACGGGAGGCAGCAGUGGGGAAUUUUGGACAAUGGGCGAAAGCCUGAUCCAGCAAUGCGGCGUGUGUGAUGAAGGCCUUCGGGUUGUAAAGCACUUUUGGCGGGAACGAAAAGGACUGUGCCAAUACCACGGUUCGAUGACGGUACCCGCAGAAUAAGCACCGGCUAACUACGUG
rnacentral:rRNA from 1 species